rnacentral:snoRNA from 1 species
ACAAAAUAUCUUGCUAGGAGGCCCAUCCCCCUGGGCCUCUUAUAGUGUCCUAUGCUAGAGCUAACUGUGACCCCGAACCAUUGCCUGGCCUCUGUGUCAUUAGGCUGCUGGAACUGAAGUGUGUUGCACAGCA